rnacentral:tRNA from 1 species
AAUCUUAUAUUUUAUAUUAAAAAUAUUAAAUUGCAAGUUUAAAGUAGAUAAAUGUCUAAGAUUU